UGGGGGAUAUUGCACAAUGGGCGAAAGCCUGAUGCAGCGACGCCGCGUGGGGGAUGAAGGCCUUCGGGUUGUAAACUUCUUUUGCUCUGAACAAGGCAUGCCUUUGGGGUGUGUUGAGUGUAGGGGUUGAUUAGCGCCGGCUAACUACGUGCCAGCAGCCGCGGUAAUACGUAGGGCGCGAGCGUUGUCCGGAAUUAUUGGGCGUAAAGAGCUUGUAGGCGGUUUGUCGCGUCGAUAGUGUAAACACGCAGCUUAACUGUGUGCCUGCUGUCGAUACGGGCUGACUAGAGGAGGGUAGGGGUGAAUGGAAUUCCCGGUGGAGCGGUGGAAUGCGCAGAUAUCGGGAGGAACACCAGUGGCGAAGGCGGUUCUCUGGACCUUUCCUGACGCUGAGAAGCGAAAGCGUGGGUAGCAAACAGG
rnacentral:rRNA from 1 species